AGAGUUUUAGAUCCUGGCUCAGGAUGAACGCUGGCGGCGUGCCUAAUACAUGCAAGUCGAGCGAACAGAUGAGAAGCUUGCUUCUCUGAUGUUAGCGGCGACGGGUGAGUACACUGGGUAACCUACCUAUAGACUGGGAUAACUCCGGGAAACCGGGGCUAAUACCGGAUAAUAUAUUGAACCGCAUGGUUCAAUGUUGAAAGACGGUUUCGGCUGUCACUUAUAGAUGGACCCGCGCCGUAUUAGCUAGUUGGUAAGGUAACGGCUUACCAAGGCAACGAUACGUAGCCGACCUGAGAGGGUGAUCGGCCACACUGGAACUGAGACACGGUCCAGACGCCUACGGGAGGCAGCAGUAGGGAAUCUUCCGCAAUGGGCGAAAGCCUGACGGAGCAACGCCGCGUGAGUGAUGAAGGUCUUAGGAUCGUAAAACUCUGUUGUUAGGGAAGAACAAAUUUGUUAGUAACUGAACAAGUCUUGACGGUACCUAACCAGAAAGCCACGGCUAACUACGUG
rnacentral:rRNA from 1 species